UGGGGAAUAUUGGGCAAUGGGGGAAACCCUGACCCAGCGACGCCGCGUGAGGGAAGAAGGUUUUCGGAUUGUAAACCUCUGUUCUUGGUGAAGAGGGGAAGACGGUAGCCAAGGAGGAAGCCCCGGCUAACUACGUGCCAGCAGCCGCGGUAAUACGUAGGGGGCGAGCGUUGUCCGGAAUGAUUGGGCGUAAAGGGCGCGUAGGCGGCUUGUCAAGUCUGGAGUGGAAGUCCUAUUUUCAAGGUAGGAAUUGCUUUGGAAACUGGCAAGCUUGAGUGCAGGAGAGGUCAUCGGAAUUCCCGGUGUAGCGGUGAAAUGCGUAGAGAUCGGGAGGAACACCAGUGGCGAAGGCGGGUGACUGGACUGCAACUGACGCUGAGGCGCGAAAGUGUGGGGAGCAAACAG
rnacentral:rRNA from 1 species